GCAGAUUUAAGUUAAGUUAAACUAUUAGUUUUCAAAACUAAAAAUUGGAUUCUGUG
rnacentral:tRNA from 1 species